AACUUUUAAAGGAUAACAGUAAU
rnacentral:tRNA from 1 species